rnacentral:lncRNA from 1 species
AUGCAAAAAGGAAAGCCGGGUCCGGGCGCUGGCACCCCGGAAACCAACCCUCCAGGACGUUUCUGUACCCUCGCUAAACAAGCCGCAGCCACCCUCCGCCCUGCCAAGCCCAACCCCCUGGUACCCAAGGAGGCCCCGACAAGUGCGCCGGGUGCCCCCCAGGGCAGCCCGUCAAGGACAAGGGCGCCCCCCGGCGCCACAGCCAAUCGGCACGAGGUCGGCCAGGCGCCGCAACCAAUCGGAGAGAGACUGGCCUGGCUCCACAGCCCGCGUGCUUUCCCCUUGCCCCGCACCCCCUUCGCGCCGACUCUGCAUCCUGGACCCCAAGGGAGGGAGUCUGGGUGCCGCGGGGGGGGUCACACUUCCUUCCCUCGGACUGCAUUAGCUCGUCCUCCCGCGGCGCCGGGUGCAGUUCCUUAAUGAAGAUACGAGGGAUCGAGUUCUAUAAAUUGUGCUUAUUGAAGAAGAAGAAGAAGAAGAAGAAGAAGAAGAAGAAGAAGAAGAAGAAGAAGAAGAAGAAGAAGAAGAAGAAGAAGAAGAAGAAGAAGAAGAAGAAGAAGAAGAAGAAGAAGAAGAAGAAGAAGAAGAAGAAGAAGAAAAGAGCAAAUAAAGCCAGCUGGGGUAUCGCUGAGCGGGUCAUCAGCGUCAGCGGCCACGAGGGGGCAGCCUCACACCGUGCUCCGCGGCGGGAGCCACUGUCGCUGCGGCUGCUUUUUUUCCUGCUGUGUGCACGGUAAGUAAAACUCAACAGUUUCGUGGAAGCCGACUGAUUUUCCCCCCCUUUUUUCUUUAUGAAGGACUCGAGCGCGGGCCCAGGGUUCACUCUGCAGAACAUCACAGGAAGAGCGCGUUUCCGCAUCUCACCUCCGAGCGCCUUUUGAUUAUGAGGAGGAAGCACCAAGUGCAAACCGGCUGCGCCGAGGACGCCCAGAGUUGCCUCGGUGCCUUUGUUCUUUUCUUUUCUUUUCUUUUGUUCUUUUUUUUUUUUUGGUAACGGGGAUUGAACUGAGGACCUUUCGCGUGCGAAGCAGGAAGCAGAACCACUGAGCUAAAUCCCCCGCCCUCCUUUGUUAUUUUCAAGCGCCGUCAGCGAAGCGCAGUGUGCGAGAGCGACGGCAGAGCACUGCUCCUGCAGGAAGAGGGUGCGCUGCUCCUUUGGAAAAAGGGCUCCGUUUUCCUGGGUGCCCUCCUCCAACCCCGUGGCUCUAAAUAUAACAGCUCUCAGGGGUAACUCCCAACUUGACGCUUUCUCCCGAACGUCUCCCCGGAACCUCGGGCUUGUGUGUUUUCCUCUCCAGCCACUGGUACCCCAUGCGCAUCUAAUAGGCACCUAAGUCUGGCCACAACUAUUUCUAACCUUCACAUUUGCUUCUUUUCCAAGGCCUGUUUUUAUGCCAGGAACAACAUUCACGCUCAAACCCCAAACCCNNNNNNNNNNNNNNNNNCUCGCCUCCUCUCACAUUUACUCAAUUUCUAGACAGAUUCUGUCGACACUUCUGCAAGGUACGCCUCCAGGUCACCUGACGCCGGGUCUCUAUUUUUGUUUUUUUUUCGUACCGGGGAUCGAACUCGGAUUCUUGAGCUUGCGCAGCAGGCAGUGAAAUCUCUGAGCUAAAUCCCCGGCCCCUGACGCCGCUUCUCUGAAUGGCACACGCCCUUCCAGUCACCUGUAAUCCAGCCUCCUUACAACUUUCGGGAUGAUCUUUAAAAAAAUAAAAACAAAAAUUUUUAUUCACACCCGUUUGCAGUACAUAAUGAUUACAUUCACUGUGGGGAGUUGGUACACUGACAUAAGACAUCUUAAUUCCUUUUCUUCCCCUCUUUCCUUCCCCUCCGUCAUCUCUUGGCCCUGCCCCAUUUGCAAAAGGUCAAUCUCCCAGUUUUCUAUCAUCUAUCUUUUAUUUUGCUCUUUAAAUUAUUUGUACUUUGGUUUUCUCAUAUAUGAAAAACCAUAUGA